GGCUCGUUGGUCUAGGGGUAUGAUUCUCGCUUUGGGUGCGAGAGGUCAAGGGUUCAAAUCCCGGACGAGCCC
rnacentral:tRNA from 1 species